UGGGGAAUCUUGCGCAAUGGACGAAAGUCUGACGCAGCCACGCCGCGUGAGUGAAGAAGGCCUUCGGGUUGUAAAGCUCUGUCGCCCGGGACGAACAUUUUUGAGGUGAAUAGCCUCAGGAACUGACGGUACCGGGAGAGGAAGCACCGGCUAACUCUGUGCCAGCAGCCGCGGUAAUACAGAGGGUGCAAGCGUUGCUCGGAAUCAUUGGGCGUAAAGGGCAAGUAGGUGGUCUCAUUUGUCUCGUGUGAAAUCCUUGGGCUUAACCCAAGAAGUGCGCGAGAAACGGUGAGACUCGAGUUCUGGAGAGGUGAGUGGAAUUCCCGGUGUAGCGGUGAAAUGCGUAGAGAUCGGGAGGAACACCAGAGGCGAAGGCGGCUCACUGGACAGAUACUGACACUCAACUGCGAAAGCGUGGGGAGCAAACAGGAUUAGAUACCCCUGUAGUCC
rnacentral:rRNA from 1 species